GAAGGUAUAGAUCAAUGGUAGAGUGUAUCUUUAGCAUGAGCGAGAUCCUGGGUUCAAUCCCCAGUACCUCCA
rnacentral:tRNA from 1 species